AGUGAACGCUGGCGGCAGGCCUAACACAUGCAAGUCGAGCGGCAGCGCGGGGGCAACCCUGGCGGCGAGCGGCGGACGGGUGAGGAAUUCGUCGGAAUCUGCCUUUUUGUGGGGGAUAACGUAGGGAAACUUACGCUAAUACCGCAUACGUCCUACGGGAGAAAGUGGGGGACCGCAAGGCCUCACGCAGAAAGAUGAGCCGACGACCGAUUAGCUAGUUGGUGGGGUAAAGGCCCACCAAGGCGACGAUCGGUAGCUGGUCUGAGAGGAUGAUCAGCCACACUGGGACUGGGGCACGGCCCAGAGUCCUACGGGAGGCAGCAGUGGGGAAUAUUGGACAAGGGGCGAAAGCCUGAUCCAGCCAUGCCGCGUGUGUGAAGAAGGCCUUCGGGUUGUAAAGCACUUUUGUCCGGAAAGAAAUCCCUGGAGCUAAUACCUUCGGGGGAUGACGGUACCGGAAGAAUAAGCACCGGCUAACUUCGUG
rnacentral:rRNA from 1 species